rnacentral:tRNA from 1 species
GCCUGGGUGGCUCAGUGGGUUGAGCAUCCGACUUCAGCUCAGGUCAUGAUCUCAGUUCGUGAGUUCAAGCCCCACGUCAGGCU